ensembl:antisense 2210019I11Rik RIKEN cDNA 2210019I11 gene
CCGGCGGGAAGGGACCUAGGGCUUGCUCCGCUUCGCCUCUGCUGGAAGGAAGGACUUUAUCACAAAGCAGGCGCCUAGGGCUAAGGAAAGCCAGGGUGUCUUGCUUCUUUGAGCCGGACAGCAGGGAGGAGGCCCCUUCUUCUGCAUAUUUGCUUCCUGGGACGCGGCUCCAGAGAGGACCCUUCAAACACGUUGGGUUGGUUCAAAAAGAAUUGGCACCCCAGAGACCUCUGCCAACUGCCAGACUCCGAGAGAGUGAACCACCUGCCUUUCAACCCUCCCGCCACGUGUGUCUGAGGAGACUCGGGUUUGGUUGCUUUGGAUACCAAGAACACGAGCUUGUCGGAUAUGAAGACAGAAGAAAUGGUGACCCACCCCAUGGAGGUACACAGCCAGCGAUCACUUCUUAUAGAUUACAGACGAAGCCUGAGAACACACCUGCUGUCUUUGGGGACAUGGGCUUCCUGCGGUGCUCCAGUUGGAGGAAAUACAGUCCACGACCCCAGGCUGCCUGGCAGGCUCUCUGAACUGCCCCAAUAUCCUCUGACCUAGUCAAUCCAUUCCAGCAU